rnacentral:misc_RNA from 1 species
AAGUCGUAACAAGGUUUCCGUAGGUGAACCUGCGGAAGGAUCAUUAGAAUGAGAGCCGGACCAUGUCGUGGGCGAAAGCUCAGCCACGUGCCGGUAAGCGCCCAGUAAACCUUCCACCCUUGUGGUGAUUAUUCCUUCUGUUGCUUUGGCAGGCCGCGACCCUCUGGGGGAGCGCUGGCUUCGGCUGGAAGAGUGCCUAGCCAGAGGAACCAAACUUCAUGUAAUUUAAUGCCGUCUGAGUACUACGAAAAUAGUUAAAA